GGGUCAUUAGGUUGGUCGUGCCACCGGUACGUACUGGUCUCACUGAUUCCUCCUUCCUGAAGAACCGUAAUGCCAUUAAUUUGGUGUUGCGGGGAAACAGGACUGUUACUUUGAAAAAAUUAGAGUGUUUAAAGCAAGCUAACGCUUGAAUACAUUAGCAUGGAAUAAUGAAAUAGGACGAUCGAUCCUAUUUUGUUGGUUUCUAGGAUUGACUUA
rnacentral:rRNA from 1 species